CGUACACUCCUACGGGAGGCAGCAGUGGGGAAUUUUGGACAAUGGGCGAAAGCCUGAUCCAGCCAUGCCGCGUGCAGGAUGAAGGCCUUCGGGUUGUAAACUGCUUUUGUACGGAACGAAACGGCCUUUUCUAAUAAAGAGGGCUAAUGACGGUACCGUAAGAAUAAGCACCGGCUAACUACGUGCCAGCAGCCGCGGUAAUACGUAGGGUGCAAGCGUUAAUCGGAAUUACUGGGCGUAAAGCGUGCGCAGGCGGUUAUGUAAGACAGUUGUGAAAUCCCCGGGCUCAACCUGGGAACUGCAUCUGUGACUGCAUAGCUAGAGUACGGUAGAGGGGGAUGGAAUUCCGCGUGUAGCAGUGAAAUGCGUAGAUAUGCGGAGGAACACCGAUGGCGAAGGCAAUCCCCUGGACCUGUACUGACGCUCAUGCACGAAAGCGUGGGGAGCAAACAUGAGUAGAUACCCCGGUAGUCCCAU
rnacentral:rRNA from 1 species